GAUGAACGCUGGCGGCGUGCCUAAUACAUGCAAGUCGAGCGAACGGACGAGAAGCUUGCUUCUCUGAUGUUAGCGGCGGACGGGUGAGUAACACGUGGAUAACCUACCUAUAAGACUGGGAUAACUUCGGGAAACUGUAGCUAAUACCGGAUAAUAUUUUGAACCGCAUGGUUCAAAAGUGAAAGACGGUCUUGCUGUCACUUAUAGAUGGAUCCGCGCUGCAUUAGCUAGUUGGUAAGGUAACGGCUUACCAAGGCAACGAUGCAUAGCCGACCUGAGAGGGUGAUCGGCCACACUGGAACUGAGACACGGUCCAGACUCCUACGGGAGGCAGCAGUAGGGAAUCUUCCGCAAUGGGCGAAAGCCUGACGGAGCAACGCCGCGUGAGUGAUGAAGGUCUUCGGAUCGUAAAACUCUGUUAUUAGGGAAGAACAUAUGUGUAGGUAACUGUGCACAUCUUGACGGUACCUAAUCAGAAAGCCACGGCUAACUACGUG
rnacentral:rRNA from 1 species